UCAAGAAGAAAAAAUAGUGGCCCAUUAAUUAAUAUUUAUGCGUGUUGAAUGGGUUAACAUUUUUGUCAAGGGAAGAAAAGACAAUCGGACAAUGAUUAAUUAAUAAUAGAGUGAUCCUAAAACGAUUAUUUAAUUAUACCACAGAGGCAAAUGUUACUAAUUCAAUCCAGUUUAUUAGUUAUUAUGAUGAUUAUUAGUUUGGAUGAAAAGUAAAAUAAUUCUUUACGUGUCUAAUGGGUGGUACUUUCUUGGCAAAUAUUUUAAUACUCUUUAGUCGGGUACCAUUUUAAUCCUUUGAUUUAAUGCCUAAUUUGAAGUUAAUCCUUUAAUUUGUGAUCUCAUGGUCAACAUAUCCUGUUAUGCUCUUUGAAUUUACAUAACUCCCUUUCCUAGUUAUUUGAUUUCCGUUAUAUUUGUAUACCGAAUUCAAGUUGUGGGGAAGAAAUCGUCAAGAAUUACAAUUGAAGAAAAGGGAAAGAAUGGAUUUUGCAAGCAGAAGAUUGUUCACUAGUCCCAAGAACAGAAACUGAAUCAACUCAAUUAGUUGACUCUGGAAAGAUUUUCACCGGAAGAAACAUAGGGGGCUUUUUUUCAAAAAAAAAAAAAGACAAAUUCGGAAAGACAAAUGAAUUAGAGAUGGAAUAAGUCAAUAGAGGACUGUAGCUUAGUUACCAGAAACUGAAUCAACUCACUAAAUUGACCAGAAGCGGAAAAUUCAGAAUGAGUACUAAUGAAAGUUAUAGAUGGAAUAAGUUAAUAAAAGACUGUAACUUGUCUUCAUUGUGGGAUCUUGAUUG
rnacentral:lncRNA from 1 species